AAAAAAGAAAAGAAAAGAAAGAAAAAAGGGACUUACAAACUCUCUGACAAAGGAUUCAAAAAUAAUCAUCUUUAAUUUUUUUUUUUUUUUCUUUGUCGAGACAAGUCUCACUAUGUUGCCUAGGCUGGUUUCAAACUCCUGGCGUCAAGCAAUCCUCCUGCCUUGGCCUCCCAAAGUGCUGGGAUUGCAAGCACAAGCCACCAUGCCUGGCCUAAAGUAAUCAUCUUAAAGAAGCUCAGUGACCUUCAAGAGGACACAGAUAGAUGACUAAGCGAAAUCCAGGAAAACGAUACAUGAACAAAAUGCAAAGUUAUAAAGAGGAAGAAACUAUAAAAGAGGACCAAACAAAUUCUGGAGCUGAAGAAUACAAUGUCAGACAUUGUAUUCAAUAGAGAGCUUCAAUAGAAGAUGUGAUGAAGUGGAAAAAAUAAUUAAUGAACUCGGCCAGGGGUGGUGGCUCAUGCCUAUAAUCUCAACACUUUUGGGGGGCCAAGGUGGGAGGAUCACUUGAGUUCAGAAAUUUGAGACCAGCCUGGGCAACAUGGCAAAAACCCUGUUUCUACAAAAAGUACAAAAAUUAGCUGGGCAUGGUGGCACAGCCUUUAGUCCCAGCUAUGUGGGAGGCUGAGGUGGGAGAAUCAUUUGAGCCUGGGAGGUCAAGGGUGCAGUGAUCCCCGACUGUGCCACUGCACCCCAGCAAGGGUGAGAGAGUAAGGCCCUGACUUUUAAAAAUACAAACUCAAAGAUAGAUCAUUGGAAAUUAUCCAGGCAGAGUAACAAAAAGAAAAAAAGAAUGAAAAAGAGUGAAGAAAGCCUAUGGGAAUUGGGAAUAUCAUCAAGCAAAACAGUAUACAUAUUCUGGGAGUCCCAGAUGAAGCAGAGAAAGGGAAAGGGGCAAAAACCUUAUUAAAAAAAAAUAAUGACAGGAAACUUCCCAAAACUAGAGAAGAAAAUGAUCAUCCAGAUCCAUGAAGCCCAAAGAACCCCAAAUAAAUUGAGCAUAAAGAAGUCUUCACCAAGACACAUUAUAAUCAAACUGCCAAAAGUCAAAGCUAGAGAUAAUUUUGACAGCAGCAAGAGAAAAGCAACUCUUUUCAAAAAAUCCCCCCUUAUCCCUGCAUAAGACUAUCAGCAGAUUUCUCAGCAGAAACUUUGUAGGCCUGAAGAGAGUGGGAUAUAUUCAAAAUGCCAAAAGCAAAAGAAAGCCCUGCCAACCAAGAAUACUAUCCUGGCAAAGCUGUCCCUCAGUAAUGAAGGGGAGAUCAAAACUUCCCAACACAAACAAAAACUAAGGGAGUUCAUCAUCAGUAGACCUGUCGUUACAAGAAAGGCUAACAGGGGUUCUUCAAUUUGAAACAAAAAGAUAUUAAUUUUUUUUUUGAGAUGGAGUCUCGCUCUGUCGCCCAGACUGGAGUGCAGUGGUGCGAUCUCGGCUCACUGCAAGCUCCGCCUCCCAGGUUCAGGCCAUUCUCCUGCCUCA
rnacentral:lncRNA from 10 species